AAAGGUGAGCCAGUACAGGAUGGACCCGCGUCUGAUUAGCUAGUUGGUAAGGUAACGGCUUACCAAGGCGACGAUCAGUAGCCGACCUGAGAGGGUGAUCGGCCACAUUGGAACUGAGACACGGUCCAAACUCCUACGGGAGGCAGCAGUGGGGAAUAUUGCACAAUGGGCGAAAGCCUGAUGCAGCAACGCCGCGUGAGUGAUGAAGGCCUUCGGGUCGUAAAACUCUGUCCUCAAGGAAGAUAAUGACGGUACUUGAGGAGGAAGCCCCGGCUAACUACGUGCCAGCAGCCGCGGUAAUACGUAGGGGGCUAGCGUUAUCCGGAUUUACUGGGCGUAAAGGGUGCGUAGGCGGUCUUUCAAGUCAGGAGUGAAAGGCUACGGCUCAACCGUAGUAAGCUCUUGAAACUGGGAGACUUGAGUGCAGGAGAGGAGAGUGGAAUUCCUAGUGUAGCGGUGAAAUGCGUAGAUAUUAGGAGGAACACCAGUUGCGAAGGCGGCUCUCUGGACUGUAACUGACGCUGAGGCACGAAAGCGUGGGGAGCAAACAGGAUUAGAUACCCUGGUAGUCC
rnacentral:rRNA from 1 species